CGAGAACGUAAAAACAGGCCUGGCAAUUAUAGUUUCGUCCAAUUUUGGCUUGAGUGUGCAGCGGUUGAAGACGGUUAAACAGCGUUAAAUAAGCGUUAUUAUUCCGUGGCCCUGGCGCAAUUCGUUCUCCUCGCGCAGGAAACGGUCGUUCGUUCGGCGUGCUUCCGCAAUUUUAACCCUUUGCCCGAGCCCGUGUUAAUGGAGUAACUACGACUGCAAGUUUCAGCGGUGCCACUUCGUGUACAGAAGAAGUCGUGAGUGAGACUAAUGAGAAUAAAGUAGGAACGUAGUAGCAGCGACAGCAGCGACAGAGGAAGAAGAAGAAGAAGAAGAGGAAGAAAAAGAAGAAGAAGAAGAAGAAGAAGAGGAAGAAGAAGAAAAAGUGGAAGAACAAAGUUGUUGAGAAGAGAGGAAAAAGAAAGAAGAAGAAGAAGAAAACUUGAAGGAAGAGUAAGAAGUAAAUGGCAAGAGUGAGCAUGAUGCAAGACUGCCUGGACAGAUGAAUUACAACGCAGGAUACAACGCACGGUGUCGUUUCGAGACAUUGGACAGUUUUGCUACGUGAUGGAUCCCUCGUUACCGAACAGCGGCAUGUCGUAAGCCUUGCUAAGACCUUGUACAAUUUCCCGGAUGCGAAAGGUCAACUAAGUCUCUGCGGGGGGUUUGUUUGUGUCCCGAACAGGAAGCAAACAGCGAUCUACAACUUCCAAUUACAGAGAGGGAAGUGACGCAGCGCGUGAAUUAGCGCGCUUUUUUCCAUAAACGCUUCCAGAGUUUCACUUAUAAAUAUUAUUUAUUAAUUGUGAUAAAAAUUUGAUAAAAUGUUGAAAUAUUUUAGACAGAAUAAAUCUAAUUUAAAAUGGAAUUUA